GUCUUCUCAACAGCAGUUAAAAGACAGAAAGCUGCCUCGGAAAGUCCAGCUCAAGGAUGUCAAUUUCCCGGAGAUGCUUCUACAACCCUCUGGUCUGCCCUAACUCGGGUCCUUUAAACCCCAGACUUCAAGGAGCACUGAGAGCCGGCUGUCACCGCCCUGCCACCGGGGCUCCCCGGCAGAGCCUCCGCGCCUGUCUGUGUCAUCAUUUCCUGCUCUCAUCGCACUGGCUCUGAUCGCUUGACUCCAUCCUCCAGCUUUUAAAAUCGCCUUCUCACCCGAGGGCUGUUUUGAUAGCCCAUUUAGCCUUCCUUCCGGACAUUCUGAGAUUUAUGUUUCAUGACCGUGUUGAUUCCCUUAAUUUUUUAAUAUUAAAAAGAUGUAACAAACUAA
rnacentral:lncRNA from 1 species